GUCAAUUACACUUAUAAACCAAACAUGGGCUAUUCAACUAUCCAAAACACAGCCACAAACUGCCUUUUUAAUGAAUCCAUUUGGCUUUCCAAUCAGCAAGACGCAUGUAAUUCGGGUUCACUGAUAAGUAUUUCCGACCUUCGCAAAAUCAAUGUCACUGCAGAUAAUGCUGCAAUGGUUGCUGACGCCUUACUUGCACUGUCAGGAAACACUGCUGUCCU